rnacentral:rRNA from 1 species
UACGUAGGGGGCAAGCGUUGUCCGGAAUUAUUGGGCGUAAAGAGCUCGUAGGCGGUCUGUCGCGUCUGCUGUGAAAACUCGGGGCUUAACCCCGGGCCUGCAGUGGGUACGGGCAGACUAGAGUGCGGUAGGGGAGACUGGAAUUCCUGGUGUAGCGGUGAAAUGCGCAGAUAUCAGGAGGAACACCGGUGGCGAAGGCGGGUCUCUGGGCCUUACCUGACGCUGGAGGAAGCGAAAGCCGUGGGGAGCAAACAGG